rnacentral:rRNA from 1 species
CCUACGGGAGGCUGCAGUCGGGAAUAUUGCGCAAUGGAGGAAACUCUGACGCAGUGACGCCGCGUGCAGGAAGAAGGUUUUCGGAUUGUAAACUGCUGUAGUAAGGGAAGAAACAAUGCAGUACCUGUUAAAUAAGCUCCGGCUAACUACGGGCCAGCAGCCGCGGUAAGACGUAGGGCGCAAGCGUUAUCCGGAUUUAUUGGGUGUAAAGGGUGCGUAGACGGGAAGUCAAGUUGGUUGUGAAAUCCCUCGGCUUAAAUGAGGAACUGCAACCAAAACUAACUGUCUUGAGUGAGGGAGAGGAAAGCGGAAUUCCUAGUGUAGCGGUGAAAUGCGUAGAUAUUAGGAGGAACACCAGUGGCGAAGGCGACUUACUGGACAGUAACUGACGUUGAGGCACGAAAGUGUGGGGAGCAAACAGGAUUAGAUACCCGGGUAGUC